rnacentral:rRNA from 1 species
AUAGCUCACUGGUCGAGUCGGCCUGCGCGGAAGAUGUAACGGGGCUAAACCAUGCACCGAAGCUGCGGCAGCGACACUAUGUGUUGUUGGGUAGGGGAGCGUUCUGUAAGCCUGCGAAGGUGACCUGUGAGGGUUGCUGGAGGUAUCAGAAGUGCGAAUGCUGACAUAAGUAACGAUAAAGCGGGUGAAAAGCCCGCUCGCCGGAAGACCAAGGGUUCCUGUCCAACGUUAAUCGGGGCAGGGUGAGUCGACCCCUAAGGCGAGGCCGAAAGGCGUAGUCGAUGGGAAACAGGUUAAUAUUCCUGUACUUGGUGUUACUGCGAAGGGGGGACGGAGAAGGCUAUGUUAGCCGGGCGACGGUUGUCCCGGUUUAAGCAUGUAGGCUGGUUGUCCAGGCAAAUCCGGAUAAUCAAGGCUGAGGUGUGAUGACGAGGCACUACGGUGCUGAAGUAACAAAUGCCCUGCUUCCAGGAAAAGCCUCUAAGCAUCAGGUAACAU